rnacentral:lncRNA from 1 species
UUUCACACAAUCUUUCACACUUUAUAUUUACAGAAAAAUCUAGAGUUAGAAACAGUUGAGAGAGAGAUUCAAAGAGAGUGAGAGUCAGAACAAGGAGAUGAUCGGAGAAGGUGACCUUUUCUAGAUGAUCGGUGGUGACCCUUCCGAUAAUUCUCUGGGAUGAUUGCCACUGGAUUUUGGUCCCCGCUACCUUCAUCAGCGUUGCUUCUCUGUUCUGCAUCGAAGAGGAAAGCUGUCUGCAAAAAAUUAAACUACCGGAACCUGCUUUAUGCAUCGGAGGGUACAUGUCAAAAAACCUGAAUUUUGGCCGCUGAUUAUGGAACUGGUUGUGGGUUCCGACGAAGAUGGUUGUGGAUUCCGAUGAAGAUGGCUGAUGAUGAUUAUGGGUUGGUUGAAGGUGACGGAUUGGGCAUAAGUGGUUGCAGGCGGCGGUGGUUUGAAGAAAGGGACGGCAGGUGGUGGUUACAGGUUGGUUUUAAUGGUGGUGUAUUGAUGGUGAUGGUGGUGGAAGAGUACUGAUAGAGAGAGAGAGAGUGUGUGAGAGAGAGAGAGAGUGAUUCAAUGUGUGUAUGUUAAUAAAAUAUAUUUGUUAAAAGUAUCUUGUAAGUAUGUUAUGCAUUAAUUGUUGUACCUAGGUGUAAAAUGACUAAAAUGUCCUUAUACUUAACUGACUUAGCUAACAAUGUUAGAAAUUUGGACUCAAAUGGUUA